UCUCUUCCAGAAUUAUAUUGGAGGUAGUAUCUGCCCAAUGAGUAAUUUAAUGGCCGCGGUAUUUUGACCGUGCAAAGGUAGCAUAAUCAUUUGUCUUUUAAUUGGAGACUAGAAUGAAUGAUUUGACGAAACAAAAGCUGUCUUAAUUUUAUUAAUUGAAUUUAAUUUUUGAGUUAAAAAGCUUAAAUAAUAAUAGAGGACGAGAAGACCCUAUAGAGUUUAAUAAUUUUAUUGAAAGAUAAGUUGUUGGAAUUUUUAUUUUGCUUUUAGUGUGAUUAUUUAAUUGGGGUGAUAUUAAAAUAUAAAAAACUUUUAAUUGAUGUUUAACUUGAAUAUUGAAGGAAAGGAUGAAUGAUCUUGUAGUAUGGAUAAAAAGAGAAAUUACCUUAGGGAUAACAGCGUUAUUUUAUUUGAGAGUUCAUAUUGAAAAUAAAGUUUGCGACCUCGAUGUUGGAUUAAGAAUAUGUACUGGUGCAGUAGUUGGUAAUAUAGGUCUGUUCGACCUUUAAAUUCUUACAC
rnacentral:rRNA from 1 species